UAAAUACUCCCUCCGUCCGUAAAUACUUUUCGGAGAAAUGAAUAAAAAUGGAUGUACUUAGAAAUAAAAUAAGUCUAGAUACAUCUAUUUCUCCGACAAGUAUUUCCGGACGGGGUGAGUACAUG
rfam:Triticum aestivum genome assembly, contig: Triticum_aestivum_CS42_TGACv1_scaffold_433043_5DL